AACGAACGCUGGCGGCGCGCCUAAUACAUGCAAGUCGAGCGAGAAGGUGUAGCAAUACACUUGUAAAGCGGCGAACGGGUGAGGAAUACAUGGGUAAUCUACCAUCGAGUGGGGAAUAACCAACCGAAAGGUUGGCUAAUACCGCGUACGCCUCCGGGUCUUCGGGUUCGGAGGGAAAGCUGCACUGUGAGUGUAGCGCUCUUUGAUGAGCUCAUGUCCUAUCAGCUUGUUGGUAGGGUAACGGCCUACCAAGGCUUUGACGGGUAGCUGGUCUGAGAGGACGAUCAGCCACACUGGCACUGCGACACGGGCCAGACUCCUACGGGAGGCAGCAGUAAGGAAUAUUGCGCAAUGGGCGAAAGCCUGACGCAGCGACGCCGCGUGGGGGAUGAAGGUCUUCGGAUUGUAAACCCCUUUCGGAGGGAAGAUGGAGCGAGCAAUCGUUCGGACGGUACCUCCAGAAGCAGCCACGGCCAACUUCGUGCCAGCAGCCGC
rnacentral:rRNA from 1 species